UUAAGUUCAGCGGGUAUUCCUACCUGAUCUGAGGUCGAGUUUCAAGGUGUAGCGCUUGUGACGGCGCCGACAGGAGACUGGUAGACCGCUAUAACCACUGCAAGAAUAAUACUAUACAGGGACAUAAGGGUCACCGCCGUUGAUUUUCAGCGGUUGCUAGGCAAUCCGCCAACACCGAGCAGUGCUCGAGGGUAGAAAUG
rnacentral:misc_RNA from 1 species